CUACAGCCCGCCGCCUUCCGCCCUUUCCCCACAAUCUGCACUCCCCCUCUCCGCGCCCCAGCUACCGCUCCAUCCCGCUGCUCCGCCGCUCCCUGCCCGGCGUCUCCUUCACCGGCGUUGCCGCCGCUCCGCUCGGGCCGCUCCGUUCCCGGCCUGCCUGCAUCGGCCGCCGCCCUCCAGGUAUCAAUCCUCAUGCCGCUCCGUCCCCCGCGUCAACGCCUCUCCGCUCGAGCCGCCGCCCCGUCCCCGGCCUGCCCUGCAUCGCCCGCCGCCCCGGAACUCGCCCACCAGAUCCCGCCCCUCUCCGUACCCUCCCCUCUGCCUUAGCGCCGGAGUUCUCUCCCACCUACCCUGCCUGCGUCGCGCGGCCGCUCCGUCCCCAGCGUCGCCGCUGCCCUACAUCAGAUGGCCUCUCCGUCCCCGGCUUCGCCGAUCCACUCUAUCCCCGUCGUCAGCAUCGCCGCUACUCCCGCACCGCUCCACCGCCUCCCACCGCAGCCCCUCCCGCACGGAUGCGCUGAUGCGGUCGCGGAUCUGCUGAGCCGCCACCAUCAUGGCCAAUGGCGACCUCCCCAGGCACCACCCCCGCGCCACGCCGCCGCCGCAGCAUCACGACCCCUACCCACGACCCGACCCCGCCGCCCACGCCAUCGCUGCGGUGCAGGGGGCUUCGGCUUCUAUUGCUGCUUGCAUCUCCAACACAGGGCUUGAGGCCUGCCUACAGAAAGAGGAAAUCAUCCAACUCCAGAGUUCUCAGUCAGAACAAAUGUCUCUUUCAAAGGCGCUGAAUAUCCUUCUGGUUCCGGUGAAGCACCAGCAAUGUAAGAUCAGUAAGAGAGGCUAUACAAGAAGUCAAAAUGGUCCAGGCCCCUCUAUUAAUUGGCUGUGAUGUCAGAAAUAUGACUUCAGAAACUAUGAAAAUAUUGAGCACAAAGAAGUAAUUCAAGUGAACCAAGAUUUAUCCUUGGACAGUAUGGGCAGCAGGUUGUGGGGAAGAGCGUCUGCGGAAAGGUUGUCUUGCGAGCGCAAAUGCCUGAGCGCUGAGAAGAUCAGGUGAUGCAAUGUUGUGCUCGACAUUGAAAGGUACUCUGAAACUUGACGGGGCUGUGCUGCCAUUCAUGUGCAGUUGCCAAAAAAAAAUCAUUUAUUCCUCGGUCAGGAUACAGACAUACAAGAUCCUUACAAAUUAGAGAACUUGCACGAUAAAUGACAUAUCAAUAUUGUUGUUCAAAUUAUGACGACACGGUUGCGGGCAUGCAAUGCUAUCUACCCAGUUCUGAAACCUGACAAAAUUCAGUUGCACAUUCAACUAUUCAGGUACUAGGAGGGCUGAUGAAAUUCAGACAGAUCAGAAUUGCUUCCACCCAAUAGAGAUUCAGACAGAGCCGAUGUGGCCAUAUUCAUGUAUCCAUUCAGUUGCUGAGAGUACUAACGGCUUUCACUCAACAAUGCAGAUGCGUCUCGACACCAAUCCGACCUCUUCCUUUCAGCUGAGAGUUGUUCGCUGAAUUUGCAUAGUGCAAGAAGGCUUUGUAGUUGUGUGCACGAACAUUCAGUCGCAUUGUUUGGUGUAGAACCUGAAGAUGAGGAAGCAGCAUGCCUGCACUUCCUCCUUGUGGCCCCCUCACUGGUGUGCUCGUUGCAUGUCUUGCUGCUGCAGAGGAGAAGAAUCCAGUAUGUGUCGCUCAGCCACACCUCUCGCGCCUCCUUCAUCAGCCAGCAAAUGGAAGUACACAUACUAAAUAUAUAUUAGCAUCGAUAGUUGCUUCCCUUAGCAUGGAAUGCAUUCUGACACUCAACAAAAGUUGAGUCAGCACCAUUUAUUAGGGAGCCUGAUAUGCUUACUCCACGUAUGGUGCUUCAGACGAAGCUGAUGAGCUGCAUGGGAGGUACAUAUGCUGCAAUGUUCCAUUAUCAAAUCAUUCAAUUAAUUUUAUUAAAAAAAUCAUUCAGUUAAAGUUGGCAUGCUCAGAAAAGUACAGGUGAAGUAGUAAGCAGAAUACAAAGGGAAACAACAAAGAUGAUUACCAUAUAGAAUGCAUUCUGAAAUCUGAAAUAAAUUCAGUGAGCACCAAGCCUCAUGAUGCAUGGCUCUUCACCAGAGGAAAGCUGAUGUGCUGCAUGGGAUAAGGAUGCUGCCAUGAGCCCAUGACCUUGUAUCAAUCCAGUUAGUUUCCAGUGACAAGUUAUUCUAUACAGAGGGGUCGUAGAGCACAUUGACAACACACUGAUUUCCAGUGCACAAAUGUUUAAGAUUUGUUUUCCCAAUAGACCAGAAAUGCCCUUGAUUAUUUGUGUUUGUCCUCGUAUGCUUGUGUUUUCAUCUUGUUAAAAUUCUACUGUAAGUACUAUGCCGUUUAUUUAUGAGAUUAAAAGGUUUUGGAGUUUCAUCACAACAUUA